ensembl:lncRNA CATSPER2P1 CATSPER2 pseudogene 1
GAGCGCGGGGCGGGGCCGAGGCGGCGAGUGUCUGGGCGAGCGUGGCUGGGCCCGGUCCUGGGCUGGGGGCAGGGGCUAGGGCCGGGUCCCGGGGUGAGCCGAAACCUGGGGGUCGGGCGGGGCGGGAAAUGGGGCGCAGUGAGGCUGGGAGCCGGCCCUGAGCUCGUCCUGCGUAGGGGUAGCCGGGCUCAGGGGGCGCCUGAGCUGGAGGUGGAAGCGUGAAGUCAGGACUGAGUGGGCGAAGAGAACCUGGGCUGAGACAUGGCCGCUUACCAACAAGAAGGGCAGAUGCAGCUUCCCCGAGCUGAUGCCAUUCGUUCACGUCUCAUCGAUACUUUCUCUCUCAUCGAGCAUUUGCAAGGCUUGAGCCAAGCUGUGCUGCGACACACUAUCAGGAGUUACUUGAUCCUUCCCGCCAGAAGAAACUUAUGUUGGGAGAUCAACACCAGCUAGUGGGCGUCUCUAUAAAGCCUCAACGUAUAGAACAGAUUUCACAUGCCCAGAGGCUGUUGAGCAGGCUUCAUGUGCGCUGCAGUCAGAGGCCACCUCUUUCUUUGUGGGCCGGAUGGGUCCUUGAGUGUAUCCUUUCAUGUCACUCAUUUUUAUCCUGGCUGUUGAUCAUCUGCCUAAUGACUUAUUUUUUGCUUCCCAAACUCCAUUGUCUCAUUCUCACUGCUUAUGUUAUUGCUCUUAUUAUUUCAGCUGCAUAAAUCAGAAAGAACUCCACUCUGUAUGUUUCCUUAAGAGACAACAGGUCCUCUCUUCAAAAA